ACUACAGCUUUUGACUGUCAGAAGUAGGAAGCUUUGGCUGUAACAAAUAGCAAAGAGUCAUGUGCUAUUUAUGCAGUUGUGAAAGCCCCAUAGUUGGUGCAAGAUUGCAAUCUUCAGAGGGACCUACUCUGUUUACGCUAUUUUACAGGGAAAUGUAAUUAUGUUUAGAUAUGAUCCAUAUAGCCUGUAUUCAAACAAACUCAGCAUAAAGUGUUUUAACAUCUGUCAUUAUGACAUGGUCGUUGCCUACUAGAAUGCAAGUUUGAACGAGCCUUUUUGAAGUGCAAAUGCAUUUCAGCUAUGCUGGAGUGGCAAGGACAUAUCCCAACAUGCACCAGCUGCAGCACAGCCUGCCCAAUAGGCUACAUUUACAGAGACCUAAUUUCUUGCUUCAGGUAGAAGUAUCUGAGUAUUUAUUCCUGUCAACAGUGUUGGUGAGUAACUGAUUACACGAUUGCAAACAACCUGAAACUGUAAUCACUUACUAUACCUGCACAAAUAUUGUAAUCAGGUGACUGAUACUUUAGAAAAAUAGAUUACUUUUUGGAUUAUUUUAAAGGCCCAGUGCAGUCAAACUUGAUUUCAUGUGUGCUAUAUUUAUUUCCACACUAUGAGGUUGGAAUAAUACUGUGAAAUUGUGAAAAUGAUGAUGAUACCCAUUUGGUGUAAGAGCUGUUUGAAAGGACCACCUGCAAUGUCAGCCUGUUGUUGUGGAAUGGAGUGUUGGCCUGCCUGGUGACAUCACCAGGCAAUUAGAAAGAGAGCUCCAAACCUCUCUGCCAAUAACAGCUAGUUUUCCCCACUCAGACCACUCCCAGACAGUCCUAGCAAACUUUUAUCUUGAGAAAUUGCUCUUUGCUAAGAAGCUAUUUUAUAUUUUUUAAUCGACGAUUUUAAUUGAAAAGAAUCACAGUAAGGUACUUAACAAUUACAUUUUUCCAAGAAAUUAUUAGAUCAUGAGAUUAAAACAGCUCAUUGGACCUUUUUUUUAAAAUUCAGCUACAGUCAUAGGGUGGAUAGCUGUAGGUUGGUACACUCUUUUGGGUGGGGAGAGAUGGUCGAAAGCUAUUAUAGGAGAUAAUCAUAAAUGACUGACCAUUCAGCACCGUCUACGAGUGCGUCAAGAGGGUCUUUUUGUGGAGUAGCGCUUAAGGCUGAUGCUGAUGGGAUGUAUCGACUUGCUAUUACAAACACGGACCCAACAGAUGAAGCCGUUUACUAUUGUGCAGUGAGAACAGCCUAUGAAGUCAACUUUAUCAAUGGGACUUUUUUACUAUUAAAAGGUAAGAAUCACCAGAGGUCACACUACCAUACCGUGGUGCAGAGGCCAGUGUCUGACCCAGUCCAUCCAGGACACUCUGUGACUCUGCAGUGUACAGUACUCUCUGAGACCUGUACAGGAGAACACAGUGUGUGCUGGUUCAGAGCCGGAUCAGGAGAAUCCCAUCCAGGAGUCAUUUACACCUCUGGGAACAAGAGUGGUGAGUGUAAGAAGAGCCCUGAAACUCCCUCUCCUACACAUAGCUGUGUCUUCAGCCUCUCCAAGAACAACCUCAGCCCCUCUGAUGCUGUGACUUACUACUGCGCUGUGGCCACAUGUGGUGAGAUCCUGGUCGGCAACGGAACAAAACUGGAUGCCAAAUGUACUUUUAUGACCACUAUUAAUGUAAAGGAUCAGAUGGGAAGAAGCCUCGUAACCUUAGAACUGAUUAACAUUGCACCAUAAUAACAAACUGAGGUCAACAAUCAAUUAAAAUGCCUACUAAGAUAUAUGGAACUUACAAUGCAGCCUUUAAAAAGAUUGGACUGUCACGCCCUGACCAUAGAGAGCCUUUUUAUUCCCUAUUUUGGUUAGGUCAGGGUGUGACUAGGGUGAGUAAUCAAGGUUGUUUUAUUUCUAU